ACCCCAUCCCGCGAAAAGUGACCGAUUGUGGUCGCCUGUCCCCAUCUAUGUUGAUGGAAUCGGACUAGCGGGGUGGGUUGCC
ncrna:unclassified sequences DTF3800-IX RNA